rnacentral:rRNA from 1 species
UAGGGAAUCUUCGGCAAUGGGGGGAACCCUGACCGAGCAACGCCGCGUGAGUGAAGAAGGUUUUCGGAUCGUAAAGCUCUGUUGUUAAGGAAGAACGAGUGUGAGAAUGGAAAGUUCAUGCUGUGACGGUACUUAACCAGAAAGGGACGGCUAACUACGUGCCAGCAGCCGCGGUAAUACGUAGGUCCCGAGCGUUGUCCGGAUUUAUUGGGCGUAAAGCGAGCGCAGGCGGUUAGAAAGUCUGAAGUGAAAGGCAGUGGCUCAACCAUUGUAGGCUUUGGAAACUGUUUAACUUGAGUGCAGAAGGGGAGAGUGGAAUUCCAUGUGUAGCGGUGAAAUGCGUAGAUAUAUGGAGGAACACCGGUGGCGAAAGCGGCUCUCUGGUCUGUAACUGACGCUGAGGCUCGAAAGCGUGGGGAGCGAACAGG